rnacentral:rRNA from 1 species
GACAGAGGGUGCAAACGUUGUUCGGAUUUACUGGGCGUAAAGCGCGUGUAGGCGGCUUUGCAAGUCGGAUGUGAAAUCCCACGGCUCAACCGUGGAAGUGCAUCCGAAACUGCAUCGCUCGAGUCUCGGAGAGGAAGGUGGAAUGCUUGGUGUAGAGGUGAAAUUCGUAGAUAUCAAGCAGAACACCUGCGGCGAAGGCGGCCUUCUGGACGAUGACUGACGCUGAGACGCGAAAGCGUGGGAGCAAACAGG